rnacentral:rRNA from 1 species
AGAGUUUGAUCAUGGCUCAGAUUGAACGCUGGCGGUAUGCCUUACACAUGCAAGUCGAACGGUAGAGGGGCAACCCUUGAGAGUGGCGAACGGGUGAGUAAUACAUCGGAACGUGCCCAGUCGUGGGGGAUAACGUAGCGAAAGCUACGCUAAUACCGCAUACGACCCGAGGGUGAAAGCGGGGGACUCGCAAGAGCCUCGCGCGAUUGGAGCGGCCGAUGGCAGAUUAGGUAGUUGGUGGGGUAAAGGCCCACCAAGCCUGCGAUCUGUAGCUGGUCUGAGAGGACGACCAGCCACACUGGGACUGAGACACGGCCCAGACUCCUACGGGAGGCAGCAGUGGGGAAUUUUGGACAAUGGGCGAAAGCCUGAUCCAGCCAUACCGCGUGCGGGAAGAAGGCCUUCGGGUUGUAAACCGCUUUUGUCAGGGAAGAAAUCCUUUGGGUUAAUACCUCGGAGGGAUGACG